UCCUGUUUGUAGUGUCCCUAGGACAGAAGC
rnacentral:piRNA from 1 species